rnacentral:lncRNA from 1 species
GGAGAGACAACUUGGAAAUUAACCACCCAAAAAAUGGUAAAAAUUCAUCACUAGAAAGUCUGGCUUUUUAAGCCUCUCUCUUUCCUGGCUUCAACUUUUUAAACGAGAAGUUGAAACAUGGGGAUUUGAAAGGAGAUGCACAAACUAAGUUGGGAGGGAAUCCUGGAGUGUUUAUGCACCCCCUUGUUGCACUUGAGAAAAUAUCUUGAAUGAAUGGAUAUAUGUUAGGGCAAAAGAUCAAUUAGGGUUAGUAUUGUAAACUAGACAAUUAUUAGCACUCCUCAAGUUGAUCUAUUCUAUCAAAUUGAGAGUAAUUUCAGGAAUGUACAACUGCUUAAUUCACACAUAUUUGAAAAUUUUGUGCUUAUUUCUCAUUAACCUAUAGUGCAAAAAGUAAUAAACCAAGGAGAUCCCAGUCUGAACAUAGGUGAUAUUAGUUGAUAUUUAAAAAUAGCCUCGUGAAGACCCCCAUUUAUUAACAAUCUACCCUAUCACAGACAUUGGCUAAAGUUUGAUCUUGAGUCAUAGUGUGUACAUAUUGAUUGAUGAACCUGUGUUGGAUUGUUUCCUGAGCAGAGAAAUUGUUUGCAGCAGCAGAAUUCAUUCUCCAGAUUCCAAAACUUUCCAUCCAGAGUGCAGGAAUGGCAGUGGUGGUGAAGCUGAAAAUGGAAGCAACACUGACAUUCUCCUUAAAUGUGAGAGUGAGUUUUCGACCAGGGAAGCUUGAGAAUGUGAAGGACGGGUCCAGACACCGCCAUCUCCAGGAUGCUGGAAGCAGCUACACCUGCAUAAACAAACUCGCACACCUGCUGGAUGGGGCGUCCUUUAAAUAGACAUUAAACGGGAUUGGCGUGAUGUGCCUUCGAAGUCACGUCGUGAUUAACUGCACCUGUGGCUGAUGUACUCACAAAAGCUGUCGAGUUGCAGGUAAAGGGAGACGAAUAUGGAAAGACAUUCUGGUUGUUUGGGGAUCUUUGUCACUUGCUCCUGACAGAUGUUUUUGGGUUUUUGCCUCUGGGUCUUGACAGAUGUUCUCCACUUAACUUCCCUGAGGUUUCUGGCAGAUUGGAAGGAAUGAUCUGUAAUCUUUUUUCCCUUUUAAAAAACAUUUUCUGAGACUUGAAAAUUUGAGAACAUAAAUAUUGCCGCCCCAGUCUCCUCUUAUUUGGUGAUUUCUAACAAGUGUCCAGUGUACAAAUAAAACCCUUAGUCUGGUUUUCA